rnacentral:misc_RNA from 1 species
GAUGAAGAACGUAGCAAAAUGCGAUAAGUAAUGUGAAUUGCAGAAUUCAGUGAAUCAUCGAAUCUUUGAACGCACAUUGCGCCCGCCAGUAUUCUAGCGGGCAUGCCUGUUCGAGCGUCAUUUCAACCCUCAAGCACAGCUUGGUGUUGGGACUCGCGUUAAUUCGCGUUCCCCAAAUUGAUUGGCGGUCACGUCGAGCUUCCAUAGCGUAGUAGUAAAACCCUCGUUACUGGUAAUCGUCGCGGCCACGCCGUUAAACCCCAACUUCUGAAUGUUGACCUCGGAUCAGGUAGGAAUACCCGCUGAACUUAAGCAUAUCAAUAAGCGGAGGA